rnacentral:rRNA from 1 species
GACGAACGCUGGCGGCGUGCUUAACACAUGCAAGUCGAACGGGAAUUACUUUAUUGAAACUUCGGUCGAUUUAAUUUAAUUCUAGUGGCGGACGGGUGAGUAACGCGUGGGUAACCUGCCUUAUACAGGGGGAUAACAGUCAGAAAUGACUGCUAAUACCGCAUAAGCGCACAGAGCUGCAUGGCUCAGGGUGAAAAACUCCGGUGGUAUAAGAUGGACCCGCGUUGGAUUAGCUGGGUGGUGAGGUACGGCCCACCAAGGCGACGAUCCAUAGCCGGCCUGAGAGGGUGAACGGCCACAUUGGGACUGAGACACGGCCCAGACUCCUACGGGAGGCAGCAGUGGGGAAUAUUGCACAAUGGGGGAAACCCUGAUGCAGCGACGCCGCGUGAAGGAAGAAGUAUCUCGGUAUGUAAACUUCUAUCAGCAGGGAAGAGCUUGACGGUACCUGACCAAGAAGCCCCGGCUAACUACGUGCCAGCCGCCGCGGUAAAAC